AAAGAUUAAGCCAUGCAUGUCUAAGUAUAAGCAAUUAUACCGUGAAACUGCGAAUGGCUCAUUAAAUCAGUUAUCGUUUAUUUGAUAAUACCUUACUACUUGGAUAACCGUGGUAAUUCUAGAGCUAAUACAUGCUGAAAAUCCCGACUUCGGAAGGGAUGUGUUUAUUAGAUAAAAAACCAAUGCCCUUCGGGGCUUUUUGGUGAUUCAUGAUAACUUUACGGAUCGCAUAGCCUUGCGCUGGCGACGGUUCAUUCAAAUUUCUGCCCUAUCAACUUUCGAUGGUAAGGUAUUGGCUUACCAUGGUUUCAACGGGUAACGGGGAAUUAGGGUUCGAUUCCGGAGAG
rnacentral:rRNA from 1 species